rnacentral:rRNA from 1 species
GACGAACGCUGGCGGCGUGCUUAACACAUGCAAGUCGAGCGGUAAGGCCCUUUCGGGGGUACACGAGCGGCGAACGGGUGAGUAACACGUGGGUGACCUGCCCUCAGCUCUGAGAUAAGCCUGGGAAACUGGGUCUAAUACUGGAUAUGACUCCACGGUGCAUGUCGUGGGGUGGAAAGCCUUGUGCGGCUGAGGAUGGGCCCGCGGCCUAUCAGCUUGUUGGUGGGGUGAUGGCUACCAAGGCGACGACGGUAGCCGGCCUGAGAGGGCGACCGGCCACACUGGGACUGAGACACGGCCCAGACUCCUACGGGAGGCAGCAGUGGGGAAUCUUGCGCAAUGGGCGAAAGCCUGACGCAGCGACGCCGCGUGAGGGAUGACGGCCU